GGGUCAAACUUGGAAGGGCCUGCAUUUGUCACACUUCCUCGGACACUAAUUUGGAUAGUUCAGGCCCAGAGACGGCUUCCCGGGUUAGUGUGCCUGACAACACUGAAGAAAAAUUGUGACAUUUUCCUUCCCCAGAAUUACUUCGUUUUAUACAUUUCACUUCUCUUCUGAAAUCACAGCAAUGCCAGUUUGCGCCUUUUGGUCUGAGGAACGCAGGCCCUGGCCACUACCAGGAAAAAGUAUUUACUUUUAAAACUUGAAUGUAUAUCUUUACCGUAUGCCUAGUACAGUAGUGCUUGGAAGAAACAGAUUAGUAAGACAAAAUAUAUGUCUUCAAGAACACUUACGUUCUGAGAAAGAAUUCUGAAUGCAGAUUCUAAUGUCUGAACCUUCUGGAUUUCAGCUUUGGCAAGCUUCCUCUGUUUCUGAGACACCUCCAUCACCUGGGUUACAAUCCCAUCCAUGAUUUUCCCCAUCUCCAGGCAUUUUUCAUGGAAAGCUCCUCAUGCUUUUUAAUUCCAGUUUAUCCAUUUGUGUGGCUUUAACCUCCACAUCCAGGUCUUUCUGGCUAAACUGCAGUAUAUCCACAAUGGGGCCAAUGGACACAUAAGGGAGGCCCUAUCACAGGAACACGAACACCCGGAGUCGCUAGAAAUCAGAUUCCACCGGCUUUGCUUCAGGCCGACUUCCUAAGGAAGGCAUGGUAGCAUCACAGAUGCUGUUUGUCUCAGUUUCCUGAGAAGCCAGUUUCUUAGAGCUGUCAUUCAAGAGUGGGUCAAAUUUGAGAUAUAAAAACCUUUCUCAAGGUAGACUCUUUGGCCCCUAUGCCUAGUAUGUCAGCUGGGCCUCUGAAGCUCUCCUCUUUGAGGUCCUGGCAGGCUCUGGCCCCUGUUGAGAAGGGGAAGCAGUCAUGUGAACUCAUGUGCUGGAAGAAUCCACUCUACCCCUUCCCUGGCUUCUCUGCUGCAAUUUUUGUCUUUAAACGUAUUUUCAGAUCCUUUGCACAUGGCCUGCUAUCAACAAUCCUCUACAAUGAUUCUCAGCAUCACCUAGGGAGCUUAUGUAAAAUCUCAAAUUCCUGGGCCCUAUCCCCAGAGUUUCUUAUCAAUUUCCUUGAUGGAGAACUAUCAAAGCAGUCAAAGCUAUCAAAAUAAAAAAGAAUUCUGAUUGGGUGCAGUGGCUCACACCUGUCAUUCCAGCACUUUGAGAGGCCAAGGUGGGCAGAUCACAUGAGGCCAGGAGUUCAAGACCAGCCUGGCCAACAUGGCAGAAACCCCAUCUCUACUAAAAAUACCAAAA
ensembl:lncRNA LINC00667 long intergenic non-protein coding RNA 667